GGAUCUUUUUUCAGCAAAAGCAAGAUGAUGCAGAUAUUUUGCUAUUUGAAGAAAUUUCCUAGAGUUUCACAUAAACUAAAAAAGAGUAUGCUCAAAGUUUCUUCAAACUAUGCCGUGUGCAGGCUGUAGACCCAAGAGGAACACAGAAAUAAAAUCUGCCCAGUAUUCGCAGUGUCUCCAUCUAAACAACAUCAAAAAGCAGAUAGAUACCUUCAUCAGCUGUAAAGGCACCACCAUAUCAGAGGUGAAAAAAAGGAGGACAACGAUCCCAGGUCAUUCCAAUUACUCGGUAUAUAAUUCAGCUCCUGAAUCAAUCCUGUCAAGACGAAGAUGAUGCACUUGAUGAGAUCCUAUUUGCUUAACAAUGGUGUAUAGAAGCUUCCUUAAUAAAAGAUAUAAAAAACUCUGUAAGUACAUAAGACAAAGUGGAAAGUCACUUUACAAAUGCAGGCCUAUUUUCUAUGGCAUGAUGAGUCAGAGCCUAGCAUUUGCCUUGUGGAGUGUUACUUACAGAUGGAACUGUCAAAAUCAGGUUUUCGUUAUAGAGCAAGACAAAUGUAGUUCUCACAGGAGAAAUUUCUCAGCAUAAAGAAAUCUAAUCUCUCUAAUUUCAACAUUGGUGUUUGUACUUUUAUAAAUAGAUCCAGGAGACUAAAAGGGAAAAGAUUCACUGCUGACUAAUUUCUGUUUCCUCAGCUUCCCUCUAAUUACUACUUCUUUUAUAAGAGUGUCACACCUUAUCAUCUUCUUUGCCAGCCAUCACUAAAUAAGAAGCAAGAAGGGGAAGAAGCAGAAAUGCUCAUGACUUAAAAUGUUUCUCCCUUUUAUACACAACUGGUUUCUUCCAUUUCUGCUCUGUAUCACAAUGGUGCCCAGCUGGUGAAACUCAUCAAGGAGUACAAGUAAGAUCUGCCAGACCUAGGUCAGCUUGGCCAAGCUCAGCUGUCUGAUUUUUUGUCUAUUAUGGGUUCAUGCAUGUCUUCAGAUUCUCCCAUGUAUUUGGAAAAUGUGACCAAAGGGACUGUAUUGCAGUUAUCUCUUCCUGGUUUUCUUGAUUGUUUGAUAAGGAAUCAUUUGCUUUAUUUCU